AAAAACAGCAAAACCAGAGAUUUUACUUUGCAAACAUGUUCCAUGAAGAAACAGUAAGGAUGCCACCCAAAGAAACAAAAAAUAAGAUGAGAAGACUGGUACAUUUUGGAUCAAAGCAAGGUCCAGAAAUAUCUGUCAGUCUGUACGGAUGUGUUUCCUGGAGCCAAUGCUGAUAUAGAGUGUUGAUUUGUCACAGGCUGGAGUUCAGUGGUGUGGUCAUGGCUCACUGCAGCCUCAAAUCUCCUGGACUCAGGUAAUCUUCCUGCCUCAGCCUCCUGAGUAUCUGGGACUACAAGCAUGUGCCACCAUGCCUGGCUAAUCUUUA
rnacentral:lncRNA from 1 species